GACAGAGGGGGCAAGCGUUGCUCGGAAUCACUGGGCGUAAAGGGCGCGUAGGCGGGUCCGCAAGUCGAUCGUGAAAUCCUUCGGCUCAACUGAAGGGGGUCGGUCGAUACUGGCGGGUCUUGAGGGAUGUAGAGGAGACUGGAAUUCCCGGUGUAGCGGUGAAAUGUGUAGAGAUCGGGAGGAACACCGGUGGCGAAGGCGGGUCUACUGGGCAUCUCCGGACGGCUGAGGCGCGAAAGCGUGGGGAGCGAACAGG
rnacentral:rRNA from 1 species